rnacentral:rRNA from 1 species
UGGUUGGCUUGGCCGAAGAUCCAGGCAUGGAAAAGCAGGGGCGGACUAGGCUUCAGGGAUUUCCGCAUUUUUAACCAGGCUCUCCUAGCGAGAUAGGCCUGGCGGUUGCUUACUAAACCCACCAGUUUAUGUGCGCAGGUAUUAAAGGCCAGAUACUACCAUGAUGGUCGCCUUGAGGACACGGUGUUCUCGGGGAAUGCGUCCCUGACCUGGCAGGCUAUCCAACACGGCCUUGAGCUCCUGAAAAAGGGCAUCAUUUGGCAUGUGGGGAACGGGCAGGACAUUCGCAUAUGGGACCGAUGGCUGCCACGAGAGCCCUCGCGCCAGCCCAUCACUCAGCAGGGCACUUGCCGCCUGAGGAGGGUGGCCGAGCUCCUCGAUGGCGGAGGUUCUUGGCGCACCGAUCUACUUCAGCGAUAUUUCCUGCUGGCGGACGUCGUCGUCAUCACCACCAUCAAGACAUCCCCACGCGUCACUGACGAUGUCAUCGCUUGGGCGCCGGAGAAAGGUAUCUUCACCGUUCGAUCCGCGUACCGACUGGCAAUGGACGAGCGCGAGCGUCCAUUGGCCACCGCCACGAGCAGGGCACUGGAUGGUCGUCGCGCCAUCUGGAAAAUCAUAUGGGGGUGCCCUGCUCCCCCAAAGGUACGCGUGUUUGCAUGGUGGUGCACCUCGAGGUUACUGACGUAUGCGCCCUAUGUGGUGUUGAACGCGAGGACGGAUUCCACGCGCUAUGCAGGUGCCCACUAG